CAUGAGUUGCAAAUUUCAAAGCAGUCAUAAUGGGGGUAGGGGAACUGGAGAAUAAUAUAUUUGAAUGCUCAAGAGAACUGGUCUUAAAUAAUUAAGACCAAUAAAUUAGAGUAUUUUAUUUAUGAAGGAGCCCAGAUAAAUGACGAUAGAAUCAUGAAGUGUAUUAUUUAUGAAUAUACUGGGGUAUGCCUCCUCCCCCCAAAAUGGUGUAAGUCUUAAGGCACGGAAAUUACAGUGUAAUUAAUGGAUUAUUCCUUUUUUUAUUAUGGUUUUUCUUAAAUGUUUGGCUGUGCAGGGUCUUAGCUGUGUCCUGUGGGAUUUUUCCUCGUGGUGUGUGGACUCGAUGCCUGUGGCUCUCAGACUUAGUUGCUCCCUGGCAUGUGGAAUCUUAGUUUCCUGACCAGAGGUUAAACCUGUGCGACCCCUGUGUUGGGAGGCGGAUUAUUGACCACUGGAUCAACAGGGAAGUCCCAGAUUAUUUCUUCUUAAUAGUUUAUUUAUCAACUAUUUCAGGAUGAUUUUCAAACAUCUAAUGGAUUAGAUCACGUAUCAAACACUGGAUAAACAUCUGUAAUUGAGCUGCUGAAUAUUCAGGGAAGGGUAGGAUAUGGCUCCUGCCCCCGAGAGGCUCAUAAUUUUGGUGGAAGUUGCUUUCUCCAUGCAGUUUUCCUCAGGGUGGUGUCUUUUUCCUCUCCAGGCACUCUCUCCUUCAAACCCAACCGACUGUUGCUCCCAACUGUUGCCAGCCUGAUUUCAGGCUGAGCGGGUUGUAUAGAGAGGAGCGUGGCAAAACCAUAGGAUGGAUGCCUCUGGUGGAACCUGUUUUCCUUCGUUAUUCUGGUGGAAAAAAAGCAGUGGCUGGAAUUAAGAACUGUUCUGAGGCACUCAGCCUCCCUGAGCCCUGCUGUCAUUUUCUGGAGAGCAGUUGCGUUGGCU